rnacentral:tRNA from 1 species
CGGGUGUAGCAUAGUGGUAAUGCUCCAGCUUCCCAAGCUGGCUAGGAGGGUUCGAUUCCCUUCACCC